CCUACGGGGGGCUGCAGUGGGGAAUAUUGGACAAUGGGGGCAACCCUGAUCCAGCCGUGCCGCGUGUGUGAAGAAGGCCCUCGGGUUGUAAAGCACUUUCAGUGAGGAAGAACGCCUGGUGGUUAAUACCCAUCAGGAAAGACAUCACUCACAGAAGAAGCACCGGCUAACUCCGUGCCAGCAGCCGCGGUAAUACGGAGGGUGCGAGCGUUAAUCGGAAUUACUGGGCGUAAAGCGCGCGUAGGUGGCUUGAUAAGCCGGUUGUGAAAGCCCCGGGCUCAACCUGGGAACGGCAUCCGGAACUGUCAAGCUAGAGUGCAGGAGAGGAAGGUAGAAUUCCCGGUGUAGCGGUGAAAUGCGUAGAGAUCGGGAGGAAUACCAGUGGCGAAGGCGGCCUUCUGGACUGACACUGACACUGAGGUGCGAAAGCGUGGGUAGCAAACAGGAUUAGAUACCCGAGUAGUC
rnacentral:rRNA from 1 species